rnacentral:rRNA from 1 species
AUUGAACGCUGGCGGCAGGCUUAACACAUGCAAGUCGAGCGGGGUGAUGGUGCUUGCACUAUCACUUAGCGGCAGACGGGUGAGUAACGCGUGGGAACGCGCCCUUUGGUUCGGAACAACACAGGGAAACUUGUGCUAAUACCGAAUAAGCCCUUACGGGGAAAGAUUUAUCGCCGAAGGAUCGGCCCGCGUCUGAUUAGCUUGUUGGUGAGGUAACGGCUCACCAAGGCUACGAUCAGUAGCUGGUCUGAGAGGAUGAUCAGCCACACUGGGACCGAGACACGGCCCAGACUCCUACGGGAGGCAGCAGUGGGGAAUAUUGGACAAUGGGGGCAACCCUGAUCCAGCCAUGCCGCGUGAGUGAUGAAGGCCCUAGGGUUGUAAAGCUCUUUCGGCGGGGAAGAUAAUGACGGUACCCGCAUAAGAAGCCCCGGCUAACUUCGUGCCAGCCGCCGCCGUAA